ensembl:lncRNA
GGGGCAUGUUUGGGAUCCGAGGCGAAGGGACAGGACGGUCGCGUGCGUGAGACGCUGCCCGGCCCGGCCCGGCCCCGGUCCUCCCGCCGACGUGGAGCUGCGCCUGGACUCGCCUUGGGCACCUCCCGCGUGGUGCAGCUCCGCGCGGCCGAUGUCUUACUUCUGGGCAUCUUCAAGCAGAGGUCUGGAGCAGCCUACGUCGGGAGCACCCUAAGUCUAGAGCGGCAGUGUCCAAUGUUGUGGAACCUUCUGCCAUGUUGGAAAUACUCUGUCAACUGUGCUGUACUACGAUGGUAUCCACUAGCCUCAGGUGACUCUCGGUCGCUUGCACGGUGACCAGUGCGUCGAGGAACUUAAUUUUCAAUUAGUUUACAUAUAAAUAACCACGAGUGGCUGGUCCUUGUCUUACUGGACAAUGUAAUCUUAGAAUUUAGACCUUGAGACCCCUUCUGAUUCUUGACUUGGUCGAGUUUUAAGUCAAAGAAGCCAAGUCUCAGGCACUGUUUUACAGUAGUCCCCCACCCCCUCCCGCGCAGAGCUGUCCUUCUAUCUUAGUGCUUGGUGAAUAACUCGGGUUCAGGUUUCCUGUAUCAAGCUCAGCCCCCGUUGCCCAAAGCUGUCAAGUUAGAGGAUGUAUUAAGAAGACAAAUUUCACAGCAAGGUGAAGAAUGAGCUGAGAUAGAAAGAAAGUAGCUCUGAAGAGUGCUUAGAGAGAGCCAUAACAGUAGAACAAGUAGAGGAGGAUGGAAGAACAUGAAGGAGAAUUCAUUUGGUUUCUUACAGAUUAUAGGGUGCAGAAGGAGUCAAAGACAGUGACAGAGGAUGACUAGAGGCAGUAGUGAUGUCAGUACUGAAAAGUAUUUCAUGAGGCACCCAAGUACUUAAUGCUUGUUGAAUUGCAUUUAAGUAUUUUAGUGAAAAUAUUCAAAUUUCUUUAGGUAAUGGAGAAAGAGUAACCUCAAUUUGUCGUCUAAAAACUCUUAGCCGACUAAUUAAGUGAAUAUUCUUAAGGUCUUUCUGAAUAUAGUAAUCAUAGGUAUUUACAUUGUGUGCUUACUGUAUAUGCUAAGAGGCAUUCUGAGUGCUUUGUGCAUAUUAUUAGUUCAUUAAAUCCUCAGGGCAACCCUAAGAGUGGGGGUUUAUCAUUCCCCCUGUGAAGAUGAAGGAACUGAAACACAAAGAAGUUAAAUAAUUUGCCCGAAGUCCUAGUAGAGUAGCAGAACUGGGAUUUGAACCUGGGCAGUCUGACUUCUCCUAGUUUAACACAGAUCAUUUAAAGUUUGCAGUACUGCUUUAUUUUCUGAUAUAUAUCGGAAUCUACAGAUCAUUUUUAAUCGAAGGAAAAUCAUAUUGCAAAAUUUAUACGGACAUGAAAUAAGAGCUAACAUUUAUUGAGCACUUACUGAGUCCUAGUAGAGGCUAUAUACUUUCACUAUUUUAAUGUUAUUUUCACUAAUUCUUGUUUAUGCAUUAAAUAAAAUAGCAUAUAUUAGGAUUGGCA